AGAGUUUGAUCAUGGCUCAGAUUGAACGCUGGCGGCAGGCCUAACACAUGCAAGUCGAACGGUAACAGGAAGCAGCUUGCUGCUUUGCUGACGAGUGGCGGACGGGUGAGUAAUGUCUGGGAAACUGCCUGAUGGAGGGGGAUAACUACUGGAAACGGUGGCUAAUACCGCAUAACGUCGCAAGACCAAAGAGGGGGACCUUCGGGCCUCUUGCCAUCAGAUGUGCCCAGAUGGGAUUAGCUUGUUGGUGAGGUAACGGCUCACCAAGGCGACGAUCCCUAGCUGGUCUGAGAGGAUGACCAGCCACACUGGAACUGAGACACGGUCCAGACUCCUACGGGAGGCAGCAGUGGGGAAUAUUGCACAAUGGGCGCAAGCCUGAUGCAGCCAUGCCGCGUGUAUGAAGAAGGCCUUCGGGUUGUAAAGUACUUUCAGCGGGGAGGAAGGUGUUGUGGUUAAUAACCGCAGCAAUUGACGUUACCCGCAGAAGAAGCACCGGCUAACUCCGUGCCAGCAGCCGCGGUAAUACGGAGGGUGCAAGCGUUAAUCGGAAUUACUGGGCGUAAAGCGCACGCAGGCGGUCUGUCAAGUCGGAUGUGAAAUCCCCGGGCUCAACCUGGGAACUGCAUUCGAAACUGGCAGGCUUGAGUCUUGUAGAGGGGGGUAGAAUUCCAGGUGUAGCGGUGAAAUGCGUAGAGAUCUGGAGGAAUACCGGUGGCGAAGGCGGCCCCCUGGACAAAGACUGACGCUCAGGUGCGAAAGCGUGGGGAGCAAACAGGAUUAGAUACCCUGGUAGUCCACGCCGUAAACGAUGUCUACUUGGAGGUUGUGCCCUUGAGGCGUGGCUUCCGGAGCUAACGCGUUAAGUAGACCGCCUGGGGAGUACGGCCGCAAGGUUAAAACUCAAAUGAAUUGACGGGGGCCCGCACAAGCGGUGGAGCAUGUGGUUUAAUUCGAUGCAACGCGAAGAACCUUACCUGGUCUUGACAUCCACAGAAGAAUCCAGAGAUGGAUUGUGCCUUCGGGAACUGUGAGACAGGUGCUGCAUGGCUGUCGUCAGCUCGUGUUGUGAAAUGUUGGGUUAAGUCCCGCAACGAGCGCAACCCUUAUCCUUUGUUGCCAGCGAUUAGGUCGGGAACUCAAAGGAGACUGCCAGUGAUAAACUGGAGGAAGGUGGGGAUGACGUCAAGUCAUCAUGGCCCUUACGACCAGGGCUACACACGUGCUACAAUGGCGCAUACAAAGAGAAGCGACCUCGCGAGAGCAAGCGGACCUCAUAAAGUGCGUCGUAGUCCGGAUUGGAGUCUGCAACUCGACUCCAUGAAGUCGGAAUCGCUAGUAAUCGUGGAUCAGAAUGCCACGGUGAAUACGUUCCCGGGCCUUGUACACACCGCCCGUCACACCAUGGGAGUGGGUUGCAAAAGAAGUAGGUAGCUUAACCUUCGGGAGGGCGCUUACCACUUUGUGAUUCAUGACUGGGGUGAAGUCGUAACAAGGUAACCGUAGGGGAACCUGCGGUUG
rnacentral:rRNA from 1 species